rnacentral:lncRNA from 1 species
AAUUCAUGUUACAUUUCCAUCAAAUAUGUUUUGGGUUGUUUUUAUUAAGAUCAAUCAACUCAUGUGUAUAGUAAAGCAACAUAAAUGCUAAUUUAACUCUUCUCAGGCCAAUGUUAUUGACAUUACUGCUUGGUUAAUUGGAAUACACAGCUGUGGAUUCUGAGUUACGCACAAGUUCCAUCAAUCAGUGUACUGGACUGCAUGGAAAAUGGAAGGCUCUGUCCAUUUCACGAAUUGGUUCUACCUUUCUUCUUCUCCCACUUCUCACAAAGUGACCUCAAUGGGGUAGCUGUUUCUCCACUCCAAGGAAAUUGAUUCAAGAUGGUGAAGCCUGAUCAUUUCAGACUUAUUGACAGAGACAUUUUGUGAGUAGUUUUGAUUAUUUUAUUGGUUCUGCAUUGCCUGCUCAGAAUUU